ACGGGACUUGAUGCUGGCUCUCCUUGGAGAGUAUGUGCUCGGUUCUACUCAAAUCCAUUAUACACCUGUGCACUUUCAAAGUUGUAGUCCUCCGUAAUGGGAGCUAUGUCUUGUAAUGAGAUGCUGGGACUACUCUUUGCCCAUUAUCACAAACUUUUAUAAUGUCUUGUAGAAUGUUAACAGCCUAAGGGCUUAAAAGUUAAUACAACUUUCAACAACGGAUCUCUUGGCUCUCGCAUCGAUGAAGAACGCAGCGAAAUGCGAUAAGUAAUGUGAAUUGCAGAAUUCAGUGAAUCAUCGAAUCUUUGAACGCACCUUGCACUCCUUGGUAUUCCGAGGAGUAUGCUUGUUUGAGAGUAUUGUAAUCAUCAAUCCUCCUUUGCUUUUGUGAAGGUUGGCUUGGAUUUGGAGAUUGCUAGUCCCUUAGUUGGUUGUAGCUUCUCUUGAAUGCAUUAGUUAAAUGAAGUUGCAACGCUAUGUGUGGUGUGAUAAUUAUCUUCACUGCAUAGUUGUGAUGAAGUUUGGCUUCUAACAGUCUCUUCAAUGAGACAACUAUGAACAUUUUACCUCAAAUCAAGUAGGACUACCCGCUGAACUUAAGCAUAUCAAUAA
rnacentral:rRNA from 1 species